rnacentral:tRNA from 1 species
AGCUCGGGUAAUUUAAUAAAAAUUCAUAAUUUGUAAUUAUGAUAUGCCUAAUUUUUGUGCUCCGGGCUU